GAAGCUUGUAGAAGUAGGGAACAGGUUUUCACAGCAGGUUUUGACUUGUCACAGCAGGAAAAGCACAGGUGAAACUAAUUUUGUUAACGAUGGAUCAGUUGCAUCAAGUGGCCCAGCCAUGUCAGCCAGUUUCAAGCAGCUGCAAACUCAUUAAGACACAACAAAUCAGAACCCUCAUCCUUCAGCAAUUUCCCAGUGUAACUGAUGGAUUUUAGGCAAUGGUUAUAUGCAGCCAGGAGGAAGAUCUCAGAUUGUGUUCAUCUGAUACAGCAUGAGCCAGGGAAUAAAUCUAAAGCUAACAGGCUACUGUCCCAGCAACCUCCAGUAAUGAUGAUGAUUUCUGUCCAUCACCCAGCUGCGAUGAGUUCAGAGUGCGCAACUACCUGGCGCACGUUAUCAGUACCUGCAGUAGGUAUGAGCAGGCAGUGGAGGGCAGUUUUUUCAUGUUUCACAGGUGAUCAUGUUGAUCUUGAAUGUGCUUGCAGAUAAUUUACAACUGGAUUUCCCUUUUUAGUUUAACAGAAUUAUACACGGUAUGUCUGCAAAAAGUCGAAGAAAAUUGUUCAAAUUGGUAAUGGAUUAACAGUCAUGUUCCUCUGUGAUCUUAUUUAUGGUCCUUUAAAAUGGAUUGUCAAGACAAAUGCGUAAAACAAGAAAUCUAGCUGAAUGUUGGUGUUGUGCCAUAAAAAUGAGUGGUGGAGUAGGAGUUUGAUGCACAAGACAAUGUAUGCACACAAUAGUCUGAACAUUGUAAAACAAUCUGUGUUCUCAUACAAGGCAGAAAGUGAAAUGGACUUUUCAUUUUCAGAUUUUGUUGUACAGUCAAGAAAAAGGAAUAGCACUGUUUGCAAGUUCCCAGUUUUCUGCAUAAUUGG